UAAAAGUUUAAUACAAUAAGUAUUCCAAAAGCUAUUACAUCAAAUGAGUGGCUUUGUGGGCAUACUUCCAACACCAUCAUGUCCAAAAAGGUUCCUGGUCAUAUGAUUGUCAGAGGGAUACUGACAAUGCAAAGACCAGUACAUACUGUGUCCCCUUCAAUUGGAAGGAUGGAAAGUCUUAUCCCAUUCGUGUAGUGACCCUAAGACAGGUAUGUAGGUGCUCAUUAAGGGAAUGAGUUCACUGAACACAAUCGAACGAGAGUACUUGCAUGGAGGUCUACUCACAUGUCAAGCAAGUAACUCUAAUGGUUGGAAUAAUGUAAGUAGUCAUUUGACCUGAGGCAUCAUAGUUGUCUUGUGGUUAGGUCCUUGAUCUUUGAUUAUGUCAAAGUCACUCCAUUCGCGGGUGUCCACGGCAUAGUUGGGGUUAAGCCACUUAGCCAUGGAGGCAAUUAAAUGCGCAACAAGGGAUCUCUAAUCCUCGUUAUGAGAGGAAGAAUACUCUAAGAUAUGAUUCAGGAAUCUUCGGCCGAAGUAUCGAGCGUAAUAAAGGAAAGCGUUCCUAUACGACUCAAUUGAAUCAUAUAACAUGGAAUAAUCACAUUAGGGGUAUGACAUAAUAUAUCCAUACCCUAAUAGUGUGAUUGAGAGUAUUGUUUUAGAGAAGGAUCGAAUUACAUUGUAAUUCCAACUGAAUAGGUUCUCCGAACAAAUUCUACAUUAGCUUAGGUAGCCAUGAUAUAUGGCUAGAUGUCACUCAUGGCUUGUGAGUUCUUCUAGAUGAUUAAAUGUAGUCGUGAAAGAAGAAGGUGAAUUAAAAGUAAGUUUUAAUUCACUAAGUGAUUGGAUUAAAUAUAAUCAAUUGGAUUGGUGUCAAUCACCUCACUGCCUUGCUAAUUAGAACCUAAAAUGAUUGUACACCGAUACACUUUUGUAGUGAGUAACUAAUGGAUGAUGGAAAUAAUAAAAGCGAUAAAAUAUCGUUUUGGGCUUAAAGAAAAGUUCGGGUUAAUAUGGGCCCAUUAAGCCCAAACCCAUUGGGCUUUUAUUUAAGCAUAGGAUGACUUGAAAUAAUAAAAGCCCAAAGCCCAAACAACACUAAAGGGGGCCGGCCAAAUAAAGGGAAAGGGAGAGAGAGGAAGUCAAGUUGUUGACUUGUUUCUUUGUAUUAUAAAAUGAACUUUAUAGUGAAAAAUUCAUUAGGGUUUUGUGUGUUGUUUUCACAAAAGGAAGAAAACAUCUCUCUCUCUAAAACCAUACAAGGCCGGCCACCAUAAGGGAGAUUUAGCUAAUCAUCUUCUCUACCUUUUGGUUAUUCCUCCAUCCAUCUCACUACACUAGUGGGUGUGGAUCUUUAGAGGUCUUCAAUCUUGGAGACUAAAGGAGAACCAAGGAGCACUCAUUCUAACAAAGUGGAGGAGGCGAGGAGGGAAGCUAGGCUCAAGGAGUUCAAGGAACAAAGGGCUUGGAGGUGGUCCAUCCUUGGUCUAAAGUCUAGAUCAAG
rnacentral:lncRNA from 1 species